CACACCUCCACCUACAUCCACACCUCCACCUACAUCCACACCUCCUCCUCUUUCUACUUCUCUUCUUCCAUCAUUCUCUCCUCCAGUUCUAUUUGCGUUGUCAUUUGUUGGAUCAGUCUGUAUUGUGACUUUACUGGUGGUACUGGUUCUGCUGGUGAGACGACUUGUUAACAGGAAACUUAAAGGUCACUGACAGGAAGGCAGAGAUAAGGAGACAGGACCUGCUAUUACAAGACAAAGAUCAACACAACAUUACCAGAGGCGUAACAUCACAAAGUGUUCUGGUUAUUGUAGGGACCACAGACCUGUUUUGAUGAUUGUGGGCCAUAGAUUGCAGAAGCUGCAUGCUUGCACUACCCAAAUGGCCUACUUUUAAUCCUUUGGGGGGCGGGGGGUUCAGCUCUGUCUUCAGUUUCAAAACAAGACAUUUCUGUAUGAAAAAAACUGUUCGGUUCUUGUAUCCUGUCUUAUUUGUACCUGGGGUAAGGUGCCUGCAUCAUCUGCACAGUUAGGUCCUCCCUAAAGCAGCUGUUUCACUGCUAGUUGCUGAUAUAAGAAAUUUAGUUUUUCAUUAUGUCCAAUUUAAAUUUGAAUACUGGAGACAAAAGAAGGGGAUCAAAUAAUUUUGCAUCAUAAUCAAAAUAUUAACAGCAGUACUUAAAUGACUGCACUGUCUGCAGUGAUGUCCUCUGUGUGUGUUUUAUUGUGCAGAGACUGAACCUGCUGCAGUCUACUCAGCAGUGAGAACUGAAGACGUCAGUUAUGGACAAAUUAUCAUCAUAGAGAAGAAAAGAAAAUCAAAGAAAAGAGAGUGUGAUCCAGCUGCAGUCUACUCAUUAGAGCAAACUGGAGACGUCAGUUAUGAACAAAUCACCAUCAAAGACAAGGAAAACAGAUCAAAGAGCAGAGAGUCGUCGCCUACUCCUCGCUGAAGUAAUCUACAAGUCCAACCACUGGAAUCCAGCUGCUGUUCCACGUGACCUUCAUUACAAAUAAGAUCUGUAUAUAUUGUCUUUAAUCUUUUCAAUACAUUCAAGUCAACACCUACUGAGGGACCAAAAACUCAAAGAGAAAUUAAUUUUUUGGGUAAAAUAAAAGCUCAACUUCUUUAACGACUUUAAAGAAACAAAUACAUAUAUAUAUUUUCAUCACCCUGUCCUUCAGUGUCUCAGUAUGGCCAUAACAGCUACAUGUAUUUCUAUAAUACAUGUUAUAUGAACAAUAAAUAACAAUACUAUCUAAUAUAUAAUGUAUAAUGUCUAAUAUAUACAUGUAAAGUAAUGUAUUUAGUAUACUCAGUAACCCUGCUGUUGUCUCCACUGCAGUGAUCUGUAUUCUCUGCAGGACUCUGGUUGGACUUGUUGUUCUUCUCGUGUGGUUCUGUGGGUUUCAUGAAGAUGUCUGAUGGAAAAUGUGAACCGUUGUUGCUAACCCAUGCACACGUGUCUCUUCAGUGCAGAUAAACAAAAGCUUAAGAACAAAGUGUGGCUGUGGUUAAUGAGUUUUGAUUUAAGGAAAUGAAUUAUGUGAGACUUUAGAUGCUGUUUAAACUAAAGACUUCUCCAUCAGUAGAUAAGAGUGUGCAUGUGCAUCUUAGUUACAGUGUUGUUGAUAUCUGCGGUUGUCCUUGCACAGGGCAGUGAGGACAUAUGUGCUGUCUAUCCUCACUCAGUCUGAUAUGAUCUCACUUUCCAUUCAGUCAAAAUCGGGGUCAGAUUAUGCUGCAAAAGCAAAUGCUCAGAGAAAGACUGAUAUACUAAGUGCUAUGCUCAAGUUGAGUUACCAGAAUCCCCAGGAUCUUUCCAGUCACUUUAAUUAUAUGCAUAAUUAGUCAAUUCAUAGCUAACUAUAAGUAAUUGCAUUCCAGCAGCAUCCACAGACAAUAAAAAGCACUGACCACAGCUUAAAGCACAGGCUGGUGCUGCCAUCUAGUGACACUGAAGAGCUCCAACCACUGCUUUUAGGAUCAUUCUGGGUAACUUUAACUGCUGCAUGUAACUGUGAUUUCUUCUAUCUGUUUACAAAACCUAUAGCACACAGGGAACACAGAAAGACACAUCUAUACUACAAUCAUUAUAGUAUAAAGUUUGGACAUUAUAGUGUGACUCAUCAUUUUAAUCUGACAUUUCAUUUUUUGCUCAACUGCACUGUGAAAAGCACAGAUGUAUACAGUAUUUGUAUAAGUUAUAUAGAUGCUGCCACUCACAGUGACCUAUGUAAUGUUUAUGCGAAGUUUCAUCAAGCUCAGCACAUUCAC